GACGAACGCUGGCGGCGUGCUUAACACAUGCAAGUCGAACGGAAAGGCCCUGAUUUUGUGGGGUGCUCGAGUGGCGAACGGGUGUGUAACACGUGAGUAACCUGCCCUUGUCUUUGGGAUAACUUCAGGAAACUGGGGCUAAUACCGGAUAGGAGCUCCUGAUGCAUGGUGGGGGUUGGAAAGUUUCGGCGGUUGGGGAUGGACUCGCGGCUUAUUAGCUAGUUGGGAGGGUAGUGGCUUACCAAGGCUUUGAUGGGUAGCCGGCCUGAGAGGGCGAUCGGCCACACUGGACGGGAGACACGGUCCAGACUCCUACGGGAGGCAGGAGGAGGGAAUAGUGCGCAAGGGGGGAAAGCUUGACGGAGCAACGCCGCGUGAGUGAUGAAGGUCGUCGGAACGGAAAACUCUGUUAUUAGGGAAGAACAAAUGUGUAAGUAAAUAGGCACGUCUUGACGGUAACUAAUCAGAAAGCCACGGCUAACUACGUG
rnacentral:rRNA from 1 species